UGCAAGUCGAACGAGAUCUUCGGAUCUAGUGGCGCACGGGUGCGUAACGCGUGGGAAUCUGCCCUUGGGUUCGGAAUAACAUCUGGAAACGGAUGCUAAUACCGGAUGAUGACGUAAGUCCAAAGAUUUAUCGCCCAAGGAUGAGCCCGCGUAGGAUUAGCUAGUUGGUGAGGUAAAGGCUCACCAAGGCUACGAUCCUUAGCUGGUCUGAGAGGAUGAUCAGCCACACUGGGACUGAGACACGGCCCAGACUCCUACGGGAGGCAGCAGUAGGGAAUAUUGGACAAUGGGGGCAACCCUGAUCCAGCAAUGCCGCGUGAGUGAUGAAGGCCUUAGGGUUGUAAAGCUCUUUUACCCGAGAUGAUAAUGACAGUAUCGGGAGAAUAAGCUCCGGCUAACUCCGUGCCAGCAGCCGCGGUAAUACGGAGGGAGCUAGCGUUGUUCGGAAUUGCUGGGCGUAAAGCGCACGUAGGCGGUUAUUUAAGUCAGAGGUGAAAGCCCGGGGCUCAACCCCGGAACUGCCUUUGAGACUGGAUAACUUGAAUCCAGGAGAGGUGAGUGGAAUUCCGAGUGUAGAGGUGAAAUUCGUAGAUAUUCGGAAGAACACCAGUGGCGAAGGCGGCUCACUGGACUGGUAUUGACGCUGAGG
rnacentral:rRNA from 1 species